UACGUAGGGUGCGAGCGUUGUCCGGAAUUAUUGGGCGUAAAGAGCUCGUAGGCGGUGUGUCGCGUCGGCCGUGAAAAACCUGCAGCUUAACUGUGGGCGUGCGGUCGAUACGGGCAUCACUGGAGUUCGGCAGGGGAGACUGGAAUUCCUGGUGUAGCGGUGAAAUGCGCAGAUAUCAGGAGGAACACCGGUGGCGAAGGCGGGUCUCUGGGCCGAUACUGACGCUGAGGAGCGAAAGCGUGGGGAGCGAACAGG
rnacentral:rRNA from 1 species